rnacentral:misc_RNA from 1 species
UGAAGCUAGUUCUGCUGACAC